rnacentral:snRNA from 1 species
GUGCUCACUUUGGCAGCACAUAUACUAAAAUUGGAAUGUUACAGAGAAGAUUAGCAUGGCCCCUGCACAAGGAUGACAUGCAAAUUCGUGAAGCAUUCCAUAUUUUU